CCGGGAAGAGUCCAGCGCCGAAUCCGGGUGCGCCUGCGCGCGUGCCUGGAAAUGUGGCGUAUGGGAGGCUGCGUGCCGCCGGCGAAGUCCGAGGAGCAAGUCCCCUUGAUUGGGGCGAGCGUAAUGCGACCAAAGCGGGUGCGAGUCCCGUAGCCCUCGGUAACUGUCUGGCGGAGUGCGGUCUCUCGUGAGUCGGGUUGCUUGAGAGUGCAGCCCUAAGAAAGGUGGUAAACUCCAUCUAAGACUAAAUACGACCUCGAGACCGAUAGCGAACAAGUACCGUGAGGGAAAGUUGCAAAGAACUUUGAAGAGAGAGUUCAAGAGUACGUGAAACUGUUCAGAGGAAAACGGGUGGGCGUUCGAACCCCCCCUCGGCGGUUGCGGCCCGGAUUCAGUCCGUCGCAUUUUCCGGAGAGUUAUCGUUCGUCGGUCGCGGUGUCGGUCGUUCCGUUUCGACGGGCGGCCGAUAGGUCAGCGGCGGCGGUUCGGUUGUCUUGGCGGGAUUUGUGGCGGACGCAUUUCCGUGGUUUUUUCCGCUCGAGUGUAGGGCGCUGCGACCGAUCGGGCACCAAAAGAGUGCCGGCCGUGGGCCGAGUUUGCGGUUAGGAGCGCCGUUCGCGAGUGCGGGUUCGCGCCCGCGCGAGCGUCGGUCUUGUUCCUCCGGCUCGGCGUCAACUGCGGUCGGUCGUCCGAUCGGUGUGUGCAGAAGUGCAGUGGUGUGCGGUGCUCUCGUUAAUUAUAACCGAGUCGGACCGAAGUGCAUUCGAAAGGGACGUUCCGCCGGUCGGUAGUCGUUCGCGUCUGCCGUUUUUUCCGGACGAGAACUCCGCGCUUCGGUUCUGAGUCUCGGUGAGUUGUCGNNNNNNNNNNNNNNNNNNNNNNNNNNNNNNNNNNNNNNNNNNNNNNNNNGACCAAGGAGUCUAACCCGUAUGCGAGUCGUAGGGUCUUGCGUAGGCCCCGUGGCGGAGCGAAAGCAAAGUCGAGACACCGCGGGUUUAACUCGCGGUAGCAUCGGCGGCCCGGCGGUGCGGCCGGCUGGCACGGCCCGUUCGGCGUCAAAAACCGAACGGCGAGUCGUGCCCGGCUCGUCGGAGUCUGAGCAUACGAGUUGGUACCCGAAAGAUGGUGAACUAUGCCCCGCCAGGGCGAAGCCGGAGGAAACUCCGGUGGAGGCCCGAAGCGGUUCUGACGUGCAAAUCGAUCGUCGGAGCGAGGUAUAGGGGCGAAAGACCAAUCGAACCAUCUAGUAGCUGGUUCCCUCCGAAGUUUCCCUCAGGAUAGCUGGCAUUCGUGAAACUCAGUCUCUCCUCGUAGAGAGAAUGAAUAGAGGCCCUGGGGCCCUAGACGACCUCAACCUAUUAUCAAACUGCUACGAGGUGCGUCGGUAGUCGUGGACUUGCUGACUUGAAGUCAGAUUACGCUAUGGGAUGUGUGAGUGCCGUGUGGGCCACUUUUG
rnacentral:rRNA from 1 species